CUACAUCCCAUUCCUGCAUCAUGCUCAGCAUCCUGCAUCCCAGUUCCACAUCCUAUUCUCACACCCCAACCCCACAUCCCAAUCCUACAUCAUGUUCAGCAUCCCACUUCCCAUUCCCACAUCCCAUCCCUGCAUCCCAUUCCCACCUCAUGUUCAACAUCCAAACCAUUCCUGAAUCCCAAUUCCACAUCAUGUUCAGCAUCCCACAUCCCAUUGCCACAUCCCAUUCCUGAAUCUCAUUCCUGAAUCCCAAUUCCACAUCACGUUCAGCAUCAUGCAUAUCAUUCCCAUAUCCCAUUCCUGGAUCAAGUUCAGCAUCCUGCAUCCCAGUCCCACAUCCCAUUCCCUCAUCCCAUUCCCGCAACCCAACCCCACAUCACGUUCAUCAUCCCUCAUCCCAUUCCCACAUCCCAUCCCUACAUCCCAUUCCCACCUCAUGUUCAGCAUCCCACAUCCCAUUCCCUCAUCCCAUUCCUGGAUCACAUUCAGCAUCCUGCAUCCCAGUCCCACAUCCUAUUCUCACAUCCUGUCCCCACAUCCCAAUCCUACAUCGUGUUCAUCACCCUGCAUCCCAUUCCUGCAUCCCAACCCCACAUCACGUUCAUCAUCCCACAUCCCACUCCCUCAUCCCAUUCCCUCAUCCCAUUCCCAUAUCACGUUCAUCAUCCCACAUCCCAUUCCCACAUCCCAUUCCUGCAUCCCAUUUCCAUAUCACAUUCAUCAUCCCUCAUCCCAUUCCUGCAUCCCAACCCCACAUCUCAUUCAUCAUCCCACAUCCCAUUCCUGUAUCCUAUUCCUGUAUCCCAUUCCCACAUCACGUCCAUCAUCCCUCAUCCCAUUCCCUCUUCCAACUCCCUCAUCCCAACCCCACAUCACGUCCGUCAUCCCACAUCCCACUCCCUCAUCCCAUUCCUGCAUCCCAACCCCACAUCACAUUCAGCAUCCCACAUCCCAUUCCUACAUACCAUUCCCUCAUCCCAUUCCUGCAUCCCAUUCCUGGAUCACAUUCAGCAUCCUGCAUCCCACUCCCUCAUCCCACUCCCUCAUCCCAAUCCCACAUCCCGUCCACCAUCCCUCAUCCCAUUCCCUCACCCCCUAUCCCCCCGUACAGAACUACAUCUCCCGACGUUCUCAUCCCCAUCCACAACCGCGACCGUCUCAACUCGCGCGCGCG
rnacentral:lncRNA from 1 species